CGAAGAUGACAAGCAGCUUUGAAUUCCUUCUGUUUUCAUGUUGAGCAGCAGCUGCUGCUAGAGCCUGGUAUGUCUGAGAUGAUUCCCACUCAUCACUGACUCUCUUGGGUGAGAGGAAGCGCCACACUCAUCCCUAGAAGAGUAUGAAGAAAAAGUGGAGGAAGCUGGAACUAAGUUCAAUGCAGCUCAACAGCUAUGAGAAGUAUGCCGCUGUGGGAUGUUCAGAGUGGAGGAGGCCACACAUGUGCAGGUGCCGCUCUGGAAACAUCUGGGCUGUGAAGGUGAACACUGCAGGAGAGGAGCAGUAGACACCACAUGGAUGCUGAGAAUUGAACCUGGGUCAUUUGGAAGAGCAGCUGAUAAUCUCCUAAUUGCCAAGCCACCUCUCCUGUCCCUGUCCACUGCUUCGGUAGCCGAGUAUUCUUUGUUUGUUUUAAGCCUGAGUCUCAUGUGGCCUGGAUGAUCUCACCCUGACUGUGUAGAAGAGGAUGACCUUAAACUCCUGGUCCUCCUGCCUCCACCUUAGAAGUCUGGGAUUACAAGUGAGCUGCUGUGUCUGGUGUUGCAAACACUUUUCUAUAUUAAUCUGCCUUAAACAUGACUUUAUUUUAUUCUUUAAGUACUAUAGUUGAGUGUUAACUAUUGGAAAUGUGCAUCCAACAUUUUCAAUUACAUAUUACACAUGAGUGAACAGUUUUAUAAGGAAACCCACUGUGCAUACCAUGAAUAUUACUUUGGCUAGUGAAACAGUGAGCCAAGGGGGAUGAACACUUUCAGGCUCUGGUACAUUUUGCUUACUUGCUUUUUGGUAUAAUAAAUUCACCCUCCCAUGGCACAGAAGGUGAUGCUUGCCGCUGCCUUGUAUCCUAACAUAGCUCUACUCUUAACUCUCAACAUUCUGUUUGCUUUCUUUCUUUUUAAAUUUUUUAAAAUUUCAAGGUACUAUACAAGAAAGUUUCAGUCAAAGUAUAAUUUGGGGAUAUAAACAAAGAUUCUGAUCGUUCCUUUCUCUGUUGUAUAUAAGAGACUAAGGAAAGAUCCUGCCCUUGAGAUUUUACAAAUCACAAUAUUUAGCAAGACACAGAGGAAUGGGACCCCCCAUUCAGUGCUGGCAUGAAUGAAAAAACUGGUGUAAAAACUAGAGUGGUAGUUUCUAAAAAGAAAUUAAUAAUAAUACAAAAUUAUCAUAGAUUCAGAAAUUCCAUUCAUUUGUAUCAAGUAAGAGAAAUAAAAAUGUACACACAAAAAAAAAAAAAAAAAAA
rnacentral:lncRNA from 1 species